rnacentral:rRNA from 1 species
AUUGAACGCUGGCGGCAGGCCUAACACAUGCAAGUCGAGCGAGCGGCGGACGGGUGAGUACUGUAUGGGGACUGCCCGAUAGAGGGGGAUAACUACUGGAAACGGUAGCUAAUACCGCAUACUAUCGGAUAACCCAUAUGGGAUUAGCUAGUAGGUGCGGUAAUGGCUCACCUAGGCGACGAUACCUAGCUGGUCUGAGAGGAUGAUCAGCCACACUGGGACUGAGACACGGCCCAGACUCCUACGGAGGCAGCAGUGGGGAAUAUUGCACAAUGGGCGCAAGUCUGAUAGAGCCAGGCCGCGUGUAUGAAGAAGGCCUUAGGGUUGUAAAGUACUUUCAGUCGUGAGGCGUUACCGACAGAAGAAGCACCGGCUAACUCCGUGCCAGCAGCCGCGGUAAUUC